CUGUAAUGCACUGGGCUGGUGGUAGGGUAAUAAAGUGCCCUGGUUUGCCCUGGACGAAAACCAACAGUGUUUUCUAGAUGCGAGUUAAAACUGGGACUUUCCCGGGCAAAUCAGGAUGAAUUGGUCAUCCUAGCUGAUUAGAGUGUGGGAGUGGGAUGGUUUGGGGGUCUUUUAUAAGCUGCCGUGUUUCAACUGACUAUUGGGUGGGUGAUUGUUUGCACACUUGGGUCAUUCUACCUGCUGGCUCAGGUGACUGAGACCCUUGAACUCCAGUAGGUCCAUGAGCUCUUCCUCUUACUCCUAUGUACCCUGGUUUCUCUGGGCACAAUGCCCAGAGACCAGCCUCGAGGGAAGACCACUGCUCCCAACAAUCCUCCUGGCUUACUUGCCACCAUGCCACUUCCCCUACGUAACGAACCAUUGUUGGGACUAAAGUACAUCCCUUCAGGAAGAAAACAGCAGCUCUCUACUUUGCAUCAGAGUUAGAAAAAAUGAGCUAGACCCUUUUGGCAACCCAUCUUGCAGAUGAGGAAACUGGAUUCUAGGGAAGGGUUUUGGGGAGGAUGAAAUGUGAGUGGAAUUUGGCCAUGAUCAGCCCUUAGAGUCGGCCUGAGCCCUGCCCUGGCCAGCUGUGUGUCCUUGGAUACGCCAAGGUGAAGUUUCCUCUUCUUCAUAACGUUCAGACCUGCCCCUGGAAAAAAGAGCCCAGACCUCAUCAUGAAUGCUGUCCUAGGAGAAAAUGAACAGCUGGAGAAUGCUCCUGAUCAGUAGGCCUGAAGGAUGCUGGGAUACAGCCUUCAAGAUGGAGCAGCCAGGAUGCCAAGUAUCCCUCUUGCCCAGAUCUAAGGCACUUUUUCCUACUGAUCCAUAUUGGCCUCAGGAGAUGUCUCAACACAGCACCCCAGCCAAUGGAGUUGCCACAUAAGAUGAACUUGUGAUCAUCUCUAAACUAGAGAGUUAAACUCAACACUAGUAAAUGACUUUGGGUUUAUGUAUAUGUCAUGUUUUCUCCGGCAACUGCUCAGAAUCAUCUCUAAAUAUCACGUCUAUGGUUGGCAGGAGUGGCAUGUAUAAUACAAAAUGUCUGGUGGCCCUAUUGUCACAAAACCUGUAUAAAAGUAAAUUCACAAAUGGCUUUUUAGAACUGAUGACAAAAAGUUACUCGUUAUCACUUUUCUACUUAAUUUCCUAAAAGGGCAAUUUGAAAUCACACUAGGAUUCUCACAAUUUUGGUUGACACUCAAGUAAACUGCAGCUACUUAUCAAGCACUUUUGAAUGAACAUAUGAAGAAUGAAUAAAAUGAAAGCUCUCCUGUUGCCCUCAGCGUCA
rnacentral:lncRNA from 1 species